CAGUCGCCGCGGUAAUACGAAGGGGGCUAGCGUUGCUCGGAAUUACUGGGCGUAAAGGGAGCGUAGGCGGAUCGUUAAGUUGGGGGUGAAAGCCCGGGGCUCAACCUCGGAACUGCCUUCAAUACUGGCGAUCUUGAGUAUGAGAGAGGUGUGUGGAACUCCGAGUGUAGAGGUGAAAUUCGUAGAUAUUCGGAAGAACACCAGUGGCGAAGGCGACACACUGGCUCAUUACUGACGCUGAGGCUCGAAAGCGUGGGGAGCAAACAGGAUUAGAUACCCCGGUAGUCCCUGUCUCUUAUAC
rnacentral:rRNA from 1 species